AAUAAGGUGCCUGAUAAAAAGGAUUAUUCUGAUAGAAUAAAUUAUGUAUAAAUAAUACUCUUAUUA
rnacentral:tRNA from 1 species